GAUGAACGCUGGCGGCGUGCUUAACACAUGCAAGUCGAACGAUGAAGCCCAGCUUGCUGGGUGGAUUAGUGGCGAACGGGUGAGUAACACGUGAGUAACCUGCCCUUAACUCUGGGAUAAGCCUGGGAAACUGGGUCUAAUACCGGAUAGGAUCGUCCACCGCAUGGUGGGUGUUGGAAAGAUUUAUCGGUUUUGGAUGGACUCGCGGCCUAUCAGCUUGUUGGUGAGGUAAUGGCUCACCAAGGCGACGACGGGUAGCCGGCCUGAGAGGGUGACCGGCCACACUGGGACUGAAACACGGCCCAGACUCCUACGGGAGGCAGCAGUGGGGAAUAUUGCACAAUGGGCGAAAGCCUGAUGCAGCGACGCCGCGUGAGGGAUGACGGCCUUCGGGUUGUAAACCUCUUUCAGUAGGGAAGAAGCGAAAGUGACGGUACCUGCAGAAGAAGCACCGGCUAACUACGUG
rnacentral:rRNA from 1 species